rnacentral:rRNA from 1 species
UGGGGAAUAUUGCACAAUGGGCGAAAGCCUGAUGCAGCGACGCCGCGUGAGGGAUGACGGCCUUCGGGUUGUAAACCUCUUUCAGCAGGGAAGAAGCGAAAGUGACGGUACCUGCAGAAGAAGCGCCGGCUAACUACGUGCCAGCAGCCGCGGUAAUACGUAGGGCGCAAGCGUUGUCCGGAAUUAUUGGGCGUAAAGAGCUCGUAGGCGGUUAGUCGCGUCUGCUGUGAAAACUCGAGGCUCAACCUCGGGCUUGCAGCGGGUACGGGCUGACUAGAGUGCGGUAGGGGUGACUGGAAUUCCUGGUGUAGCGGUGGAAUGCGCAGAUAUCAGGAGGAACACCGAUGGCGAAGGCAGGUCACUGGGCCGCAACUGACGCUGAGGAGCGAAAGCAUGGGGAGCGAACA